rnacentral:lncRNA from 1 species
UUGAGCAGCCACACAGCCUCUGUCUUUCUGCCACAGGCAGUGCUCUCUCAUGGAUGAGUUACCUGUUCUUUCCAGCACACGGGCGCAAAGGUACGUUAGGCUUCAGAGCUGGAAAGAAAGAUGGACUAUAUCAAAUAACAUGUUUCUUUAAGGCUUGAUCAUGGAUGUACCAUACUCCAACUUAUGAUGAAUUGCUCCUGGACAUGCCCAGCUUUAUGACUUGAUCACAGUUGAAUUCUCCUCAUCUAUAGUUGAAUUAUACUCAGCAGAGAAUGCUGAACCAAACUGCGGAAAGUCGGUGUAGGCGCUCUUGAUGGUGGAAAUAGAGUUAUUGGUUUGUCUCCUCAUCCACAGCAGAGUUCAAAAUGAGCACAGCUUCCCCACAGAGCAAGUGCUAUGAGCAAUGUACCAGAUCAUCUGCUUCAAGGUCUUCUUUCUACUACCAGGUGUGUUGCUCAACAUGAGGCCAAGAGUGCAGACUAUUUGCACUGAGAAAAGACAGCAGAGAAGCCUGAAAUAUGAGCGUGUGGUAUGACUAUCAGUCAGCUCUCACUGUGGUUGCAUCCAGUUCUCUUCUGCAUGAUUUACCUUCUUCAAACUCAGAAGAAAAGGGUCAUUUUCUUUUUCUCUACUUUAAAUCCCGUCACCUCAUUACAUUUUCUAAAUGCCAAAUUUACAAUAGGGCCAAGAUAAGCCUGCUAAACUUAUGUGGCUUAGAAUUCCAGAACAUGUGCCACAGUACAGACCUUUAAAGAAUAAUUAGUGUAUGCGAAACAGAGUGAUGAAAAUUGGCAAAUAAUUCCAAUUCACAACCUCGCUUAUUUUAAAUACUUGUUUUGAAUUUGCCAUGAAGUUCAGAGGAAUGGGACAUUCUAGCACCAGGCCAUGUCCACAAAAUCUAACGUUACAUUUUCACAAUCAACCUACUGCCAAAGUGUUGUACAAUUGUGUGCUUUUGACAGAUAAUGUUGAUGAAUUUGUGGCCUGAGCUUUGCCAACGUGAGACUUACACAUUUGAGCAAACAUUGAAAAAUUGAAUUGAUUAUUUGCCAGAUGUCAAAAUAUUUUGUCACAUCAAUAUUUUGAACAUUUUUUAGAUGUGUUGAACACUUUAUAUUUCAUCAUCAUUGGUUGAUUUUGGUCACAUUUUGCAUGUGACCUAAUCAAAUAAGGUGCAAUGGACUCAUAAGCAUUCCUUAUUGUCACUG